rnacentral:lncRNA from 1 species
AACACGCCUGGAAAGUAAAAUGCGUACUCGGCUGUCUGUAAUCGACCAUUUUUAGACACCACAGGCUCCUAAAAAAACAAGCCGGGGUGGGGGUUCAAAGAUGCAAAUUAAGUACUUAUAUCAAUAUUUUAUCUUUUCGUGUACGGUUUAUGACCCCUCCUGUGGCCUGUCAAUUCCGAAAUGUGCAAACUGCAAUAGUAUCAAAACAGCACAGACAAUGAAUAAUAGAGAUAUAAUUUUGUACAUAUAUCAAGGGGAAACUUCUUGCAAAGCAUUAUUAUUUAUAGUUCAUUAUUGUAUUUAGUAGAAAAAGAGAAUUUAGUGAAAAUAAAAUCACUAUUUUUG